UUCAGACUGGAUGUAUUAGUGCGGUGGCACAGCAAAACAAUUGUUCAUUUUGUGAUAAAAGCAUGGAAUUUGACAUACAUAUUCUAAAUUAACUAGUGUUUAUUUUUAGAUAUGGAACCAUCUCGUCUGUAGCUGACCUCUAAUGACGAGUCAAUAAAGAAUUACACAGGGGUCAAAAUUUAAAAAUGCUCCAAUCAUGUUGAAAACUACACCACAUUAUUUGUCUGAUCAUAACGAUUCCAAAAAGGUAUAGUUUGGACUAUCUAUG